rnacentral:rRNA from 1 species
UACGUAGGGUGCAAGCGUUAUCCGGAUUCACUGGGUUUAAAGGGAGCGUAGGUGGGUUGGUAAGUCAGUGGUGAAAUCCCCGAGCUUAACUUGGGAACUGCCAUUGAUACUAUCAGUCUUGAAUACUGUGGAGGUUAGCGGAAUAUGUCAUGUAGCGGUGAAAUGCUUAGAUAUGACAUAGAACACCAAUUGCGAAGGCAGCUGGCUACACAAAUAUUGACACUGAGGCUCGAAAGCGUGGGGAUCAAACAGG